GACGAACGCUGGCGGCGUGCUUAACACAUGCAAGUCGAACGAUGAUGCUGGAGCUUGCUCCAGUUGAUUAGUGGCGAACGGGUGAGUAACACGUGAGCAAUCUGCCCUUGACUCUGGGAUAACUGCGGGAAACUGUAGCUAAUACCGGAUACUUUCACCGGAAGGCAUCUUCUGGUGAUGAAAGAAUUUCGGUCAGGGAUGAGCCGGCGGCCUAUCAGCUUGUUGGUGAGGUAACGGCUCACCAAGGCGACGAGGGGUAGCCGGCCUGGGAGGGUGACCGGCAACACGGUGACUGAGCCACGGCCCAGACUCCUACGGGAGGCAGCAGUGGGAAAUAUUGCACAAUGGGCGCAAGCCUGAUGCAGCAGCGCCGCGUGGGGGAUGACGGCCUUCGGGUUGUAAACCUCUUUUAGAAGGGAAGAAGCGAAAGUGACGGUACCUGCAGAAAAAGCACCGGCUAACUACGUGCCAGCAGCCGCCGUAA
rnacentral:rRNA from 1 species